CCUACGGGAGGCUGCAGUGGGGAAUAUUGCACAAUGGGCGCAAGCCUGAUGCAGCCAUGCCGCGUGUGUGAAGAAGGCCUUCGGGUUGUAAAGCACUUUCAGCGGGGAGGAAGGCGUUAAGGUUAAUAACCUUGUCGAUUGACGUUACCCGCAGAAGAAGCACCGGCUAACUCCGUGCCAGCAGCCGCGGUAAUACGGAGGGUGCAAGCGUUAAUCGGAAUUACUGGGCGUAAAGCGCACGCAGGCGGUCUGUCAAGUCGGAUGUGAAAUCCCCGGGCUCAACCUGGGAACUGCAUUCGAAACUGGCAGGCUAGAGUCUUGUAGAGGGGGGUAGAAUUCCAGGUGUAGCGGUGAAAUGCGUAGAGAUCUGGAGGAAUACCGGUGGCGAAGGCGGCCCCCUGGACAAAGACUGACGCCCAGGUGCGAAAGCGUGGGGAGCAAACAGGAUUAGAUACCCUUGUAGUC
rnacentral:rRNA from 1 species